rnacentral:ncRNA from 1 species
CUUUCCCAAGUUAUCUCCAUAUAUCUUCUCUCAUUUUACUCAAGUCAUUACUCUUCAGUAAAGCCUCCCCAGCCUCUUCAUUAAAAAUAGUAUUCCUUGCCCAAUUGCCUGCCAGCUGGUACAACUCACUCUGGGGACAGUGCCAGGUGAGCAGUACCAAACAGUAAUGCAGGUAUCCUCAAGCCAACUCAGGAGGGCAGAAACAUCCUGUGGACAGAAGGGCAAAAAUCUCACUUGAUCUUGCUUUUUGGUAUGAAUAUGAACUAUGAGAACAGAGUGUCAUGGUCACACUCUUUGGGGUUUUAAGUAGGAGUGUCAAAAAAGUUACUACAAGAAUAACAGACUUGCUAGGCCAAGGGUUCAUGAUGGUGUGGCUUUUUUUUUUUUAACCUAGAUAUCAGUUCUUCCUAUCACUGUAAAGGAGAAUUCACAUUAUCCAAUGCCUAAUCUAGACAUUAAAUUAUGUACCUACUACCAGGGAGCAUGACCUGGGCUUAGACCAUUUUGAGACAGGAC